rnacentral:rRNA from 1 species
UACGGAGGGGGCUAGCGUUGUUCGGAAUUACUGGGCGUAAAAGCGCACGUAGGCGGCUUUGUAAGUUAGAGGUGAAAGCCCGGGGCUCAACUCCGGAAUUGCCUUUAAGACUGCAUCGCUAGAAUUGUGGAGAGGUAAGUGGAAUUCCGAGUGUAGAGGUGAAAUUCGUAGAUAUUCGGAAGAACACCAGUGGCGAAGGCGACUUACUGGACGACUGUUGACGCUGAGGUGCGAAAAGCGUGGGGAGCAAACAGG